UACAGAGGGUGCGAGCGUUAAUCGGAAUUACUGGGCGUAAAGCGCGCGUAGGCGGACCUGCAAGUCGGGGGGGAAAGCCCGAGGCUCAACCUCGGAACUGCCUUCGAUACUGCGGGUCUCGAGUCCGGGAGAGGUGAGUGGAAUUCCUAGUGUAGAGGUGAAAUGCGUAGAUAUCUGGAGGAACACCGGUGGCGAAGGCGGCAUCCUGGACCAACACUGACGCUGAGGAGCGAAAGCCAGGGGAGCAAACGGG
rnacentral:rRNA from 1 species